rnacentral:rRNA from 1 species
CCUACGGGAGGCAGCAGUGGGGAAUAUUGCACAAUGGGCGCAAGCCUGAUGCAGCCAUGCCGCGUGUGUGAAGAAGGCCUUAGGGUUGUAAAGCACUUUCAGCGAGGAGGAAGGGUUCAGUGUUAGUAGCACUGAGCAUUGACGUUACUCGCAGAAGAAGCACCGGCUAACUCCGUGCCAGCAGCCGCGGUAAU